AGUGAACGCUGGCGGCAUGCCUAACACAUGCAAGUCGAACGGCAGCACAGUAAGAGUUUUCCUUUACGGGUGGCGAGUGGCGGAUGGGUGAGGAAUAGAUCGCAUACCUCUUAGUCGUGGGGGACUACGGAGAGACACAGAUGCUAAUAGCUAAUAUGUUGUACGGGUGAAAUCAAUAGAGCUUCGCACCUUUGCUGACACAUUUAGCUGGUGCCGGAUUACAUAGUUGGUGGGGUAAGGGCCCACCAAGGCAACGAAACGUAGCUGGUCUGGGAGGAUGAUCAGCCACACUGGAACUGAGACACGGUCCAGACUCCUACGGGAGGCAGCAGUAGGGAAUAUUGCGCAAUGGGCGCAAGCCUGAUCCAGCCAUACCGCGUGGGUGAAGAAGGCCUUCGGGUUGUAAAACCCUUUUGUUGGGAAAGAAAAGCAGCAGGAUAAUACACCGCUGUUCUGACGGUACCCAAAGAAUAAGCACCGGCUAACUUCGUG
rnacentral:rRNA from 1 species